rnacentral:tRNA from 1 species
UGUCUCGGCAGGGACUCAAACCAUGACCUCGUGCUUAUCGAGCAGAGUACUAACCACUACACCACCAGAC